UGUCAUAUGUACUGUCCAUUGUAUCAUAAUUACUAUUAUUUAUGUUUUUAUUUUGUGUUGAAUGUAUAAUAUGAGUUAAAUGUAGCUGGAAGCAUUCCGUAGUUUUUAAGCUAAGUUUAAUUUACUAUUUCUCUUUUUGAUCAAAUGCACGUUCAACCAAAACUAAAUAGGACAAGGCCUCAGAAAGAAAUGAGAGGGAUGAUCAAAGCGGUACUGUCGCCCUCCAGUUCUGAUUGGCUCAUUCAACGAACGUCCUCGUACCUCUUUUGUGGGAGGUGUUCGUUAUUGCUGGAUGACACCCGCCGUCAAAGCAGCGGUGCAAUGGUAUCGUUACCGCCUCACUGGAGAAGUUCAGUGUCCACAGAGACACAGCUUGCUGCUACGACAGCACAACCAAGGGUGGUGUACUUGCAGACGGCAGGCCUGUUUGCUGUAACCCUGCAGAUCACCACUGUGCACUAGCGACACCGUGCAGGACGUAGAAUCAGAGGACAUGAUGUGAGGAGGGGAGUUCAGAGCUUCAUGUUUUUCCACUUAAAGACAUAAUAUUCGACUAAAUAUUCAAAUCCUACUAUGUACAGCAAUGUUUGUAGUUUUUUAUUGGCGUUGCUCCAGCCAGAUCGAGUUAAAAGUAUUUCUCCAGUGCUUGUCAGAAAAUCGGCUGUCCUCCAUUAGAAAAUAUAGUAAAGAUAAUAAAAAGGUAUGCGGACAGACAGACAGAAAGACAACUCAGAUGAUUGGGUUAUAUUUCUUGAGAGGAAAAAAUCUUGACAUAUAUGUUUAAUAUUCACACCUUCCCAUAUGUUUGGUUACCUUUAUGACACCUUUGUAUUGCUUUACUGAACUUGACAGUGCUCUUGCUCCAGCCAGGAAUCCCACACUUCCACAGCAAGUGGUGGCAGUGACGUGGCCUUAAAGUAGCUGUUCAAGUUGGCAGGUCUGUUCCAACAUGAUCAUCCACAGCUGCUGCUGUAGCUGUAAAUCUGUUGCUAUAAACCAACAAAUGUUUCACAAUGGCUCGUCAUGCUACCAGAUUCCUAAAGCAAAUGUAUCGUCCCUAAUCAUUUUAAAAUGUUAUGUUAAUGUUUACAGGAUAAAAGACCCUAAUCACAGUUCAUGUAACUUAGAUUUACUUAAAAACAUACUCAAAAAAUAGUCAAAAAUAGAAAAACCAGUGGAGGGCCAGUGCAACCAGAGCCUGAAAAACAAGCUCUUUUCAGCUUUCCGUCAACAACCAGGCCGUGAGAAAAAUCCACCUGGAAGAUGACGCCCAACAUGCUGACACAUAACAGGUCACCAACACUUGGCUUAUGAACAAACAAGUAUCUUUGUAUGAAUUUACAUACAUUUUUUAUCUUUGUUUCUAUAUGACACAUGAUUCUGGUACAUUUAUUACUGUGUUCAUAUUUACAUUCUUCAGGUUCAUCAUGUAAGAUAUUCUCAAAUAUUCAUACUUUCUAAUGCCUUAUUCUUCAGACUUUUUUCAUUGUGUUUAAUUUUUUCAUUAUAAUUGUUAUCUCAGUUGUUAUUUAUUAUGAUUACUUUUAUCAAUGCACAAAAAAGUCAUUAAUUGCAAGUGUGAGGUUGAUGUUUAUCAUUUAUUUUAUUAAGACCUUUGUCAUAGACAGAGAUUUUUCUUUCUUAAAGAUCACAUUGGACUCGUUGGUCCUCUGGACAAUUCUCCGUUUAGUAAGAGGACAUGGUGUUGCGAAUCCAGGUGGUGAAGUUGCAGACCUUGGUGUAGACUCCAGGAUUGUUCCUCUGGGCGCAGCCGUAGCCCCAGGACACGAUACCCUGCAGCUGACCGUUGCACACAACGGGGCCACCAGAGUCACCCUGAAGGGACACAGACACGAUGAUGUGAGCAGAGGUUGCUGAGUUCACCUGUAGAUAACGUUACUGAAUGCUGAGCUGCUACCUGGCAGGAGUCUUUGCCUCCCUCCAGGAAUCCAGCACAGAACAUGUUGGUGGUGAUCUGUCCAGGGUAGGAGUUUCUGCAGCUAGUGUCGCUCAGGAUGGGAGCAUCCAGACACAUCAGACGAUCAGGGUAGUUGCCUACAACAGAAACAUUAUAAGUAUGAAACACGUCCAGCAAACUCUUUCUGACGUGUUUGCAGUGUUGGACUGACUUCCAGAAGCGCUGGUGUUGCCCCAGCCAGAGAUCAGACAAGUAGUGCCUGCACUGGCACAGCUGGAGGGCAGGGACACAGUCUUCACGUAGCUGUUCAGAGUGGCGGGCUUGCUCAGCUUGA